UAGAAGAAAACUAAGCUUAACAAUAAUGGGUUAUCUCAUCCUUUGAAAGACACUUACACCUUAAAGCCAGGUUCUGAGCGGAUGCAGUGUUUAUGCAACAUACGCAACUUAGCACUGAAGUCAAAAGAUGCUCAUGAAAUCCAUGACAAGUGUCAUGAUGCAGAUUGUGGCUUUAAAUGUGUUGAUUGCGGUUGUCACAUGACUGAGUGAGACUUAAUGGAAAAUCAUUUAAAAACACAAGCAGGUAAAAGGAACCGACCGGUGCCUAUGAAAGUGUUUUUAUGUCACAAAGUGCCUGGAAAAUGCCUCAGGGAAGGCCUGGCCUCAUGUCUUUCAGUGCACAAAGUGUUCAUCAUCUUUUGAAACUGAGCAGAUAAGAAAUCUCCAUACAGCUUGCCAUUAUCAGGAUAUGUUUAAAUGUAUGCACUGUGAUUUUUACCACGUACAUCAUCUCCACUUAAUCGUAAAGAACGAUAAGCAAUGGAGCAAGGUCUACAAGCACCUGCACAGCCAUGGUUACUAUUCCAAACUGCCUCCAUAUACUGAAUGUGAGACGUUUCUUAGGAAUGUCCUGGGACAUCUAGACCCUCUUGGAUCACUGGCUUCAGCUCCAUCGUGACAUCCCAAAACAUACUACGGUGGUAAUGUUGUAUUGACCACCGAACCCCGCUGAAGCAUGGAGCUGGCCUUCACUGAGUGGAGGGUCAGAGCAGAGUUGAAACAGCAUAUGGAAAACCACAAAGCUUCUAGAGCCUUUUUGUGUUCAUUAUGUGAUCAAGCAUUCAAAACCAGGCAUCGCAAAUACAUCCGUCAGAAAAAUAAAGUGGAAGAGAAGAAAAGAAGAAAGAAGGCU
rnacentral:lncRNA from 1 species